GAUGAAGAACGUAGCGAAAUGCGAUAAGUAAUGUGAAUUGCAGAAUUCAGUGAAUCAUCGAAUCUUUGAACGCACCUUGCGCUCCCUGGUAUUCCGGGGAGCACGCCUGUUCGAGUGUCGCGAAAUUCUUCAAGCCUUGGAUGGAUUUUUUUUGUCUGUCCUUGGGCUUGGUUGUUGGGCUCUGCCGUGUCCUUCAUUGGGACGGCUGGCCUUAAAGGCAUUAGCCGAUCCUCGUGUGGUACUGGUUCUACUCAGCGUGAUAACAAUCUGAUCGUUGAGGACAUCUUCUGGAUGGCCAGUCAUCAUUUGGGUUGCUUCUAAACCGGUUUCGCAGAUUGCUCAAUCUGUGUGCCACUUUUCCGCUUUGACCUCGAAUUAGGUGGGACUACCCGCUGAACUUAAGCAUAUCAAUAAGCGGAGGA
rnacentral:misc_RNA from 1 species